rnacentral:lncRNA from 1 species
AUUUGAUACCCGAUGAUAAAUUUAUUGAAAACUGAUGGCAUUUUCCAGCACCUAUUUAAAUUUUAACUUAUUUAUAGCAUAUCUGACCAAACUUAAAACAAAACCAAACAAGAUCCUAAUUCUCAUCCUUCCCAUGUUUCAAAAACUCUUUUUCCAUGCCCAGUUCCUACCUACCUACCAUGCUUUUGGAGGGCAUUAUUUCCAGAUCAUUACUGUUCGAGAUGUAUAUUCAAAUAUACAAAUACGAGAAAGACUAGUAUAAGUCAAAGUAUGAUUAUGAUACAUAAGAUAUGCAUUUUUCUUGGAAUAAAUAAACA